rnacentral:rRNA from 1 species
GAUGAACGCUGGCGGCGUGCCCAAUACAUGCAAGUCGAGCGAACAGACGAGGAGCUUGCUCCUCUGACGUUAGCGGCGGACGGGUGAGUAACACGUGGAUAACCUACCUAUAAGACUGGGAUAACUUCGGGAAACCGGAGCUAAUACCGAAUAAUAUAUUGAACCGCAUGGUUCAAUAGUGAAAGACGGUUUUGCUGUCACUUAUAGAUGGAUCCGCGCCGCAUUAGCUAGUUGGUAAGGUAACGGCUUACCAAGGCAACGAUGCGUAGCCGACCUGAGAGGGUGAUCGGCCACACUGGAACUGAGACACGGUCCAGACUCCUACGGGAGGCAGCAGUAGGGAAUCUUCCGCAAUGGGCGAAAGCCUGACGGAGCAACGCCGCGUGAAUGAUGAAGGUCUUCGGAUCGUAAAACUCUGUUAUUAGGGAAGAACAAAUGUGUAAGUAACUAUGCACGUCUUGACGGUACCUAAUCAGAAAGCCACGGCUAACUACGUG